GGCUUCUCUUCAUCACAUUCCGGCAGUGUCCCGGCAGCAUGUCACCAUCUGGCAGCGCUUCACUUUGGCUUAAGCAGACAGAGGAAUCUGGCCAGGACACCACUUACACAGGGAUCUAGAAGCCCCAAUUCUCAGAAAGAAUGUUUGUCUCUACGGAAGGGAGCUCCGUUUUUGCCUGGAGAUGGCUGCCACACCUCCAAACUCAGGGAUGUGUGAGAAGAUGCCUCCCCACCAAGUGGCCAGUUCUUCCCCAGAUAAUGAAUUAUCUUUUCUGCAACCCCACCGCUCCGCCUCCUCCACCAUGCUGGAAUAUGGCUUCCAUGUUCUGAUUCUCCAACUUGUCAGCUGGUUUCUAUUCUCUUUACCUCUCUUGAAAUUGUACGGGGAUCUCUCCUCCACUGUUUCCUCCCAUUACCUCGACUGUUAUGAGUUUAUUCCCAUGUUUUUAUCUUAUGUCUCUGGAAGGAGGAGUAAACCAUGGUCAUAUGUGUAUUUUAUUUCUUUCUUGAUUAUAACAUAGUUUAGGUUUAUUAUAAACAAAAAAUACAAGCAAUCAAGAAAAAUAUAAAAAGGAAAGGAAAACUUCAUAAAAUCUUGUGUCUCAGAGGUACUCACUGUUAACAUGCUGAUGGAAAUUCUUCCCAAGUCAACCAACUCUUCCUGCUCCGUGUGGAAUUCCCAGAGGGGGUUCGCCUGUGCUUUUAUCUUGGAGUCUUCACUCCUCUGGGAGCCAUUAUGCCAAAGGAACAAGCACUUUUUCAUUUUUCCAUUUUGCAACAGUUGCAUUCGUUGGCUUGUUUGGACGUGAAUUAGAAAAGAGACGAGUUUAUCUCUUUUUCAGUUGACUGCUGAGCCAGGGAGAGUUAGCAGGAGCUAACUUUGCCUUCUACUGUGUGGGGUGACCCACAGGGUCAGAGACAAGAGAACUCUCCGAAGGCGUGCACCUGGCAGACCCAGUUUCUCCGUCCAUGUGAGGGGCCUGUGUGAAGGCAUCAGAUGACCCCGUGCUUUUCUGGGCCAUCAGUCAACUCUCCAAGUGUGUGCUUUGCUUUUGACUUGGCCCAAGCUCCUGGCAGCAAAGAGGCUGAAGAGAGGGGAAGGCCUCAAUCUCCCAGCCAUGCACAGGUUGAAAGAAAGAAAACCAUCACACUGCUUUCCUGAGGAAGACUUUGGACUUUUUCUUAAAUGUUUAUGCUUCUCUCCUUCAUCCCCACGUAAGACAUUUUAGACAAACUCUGCCACCAAGAUACUGAGUUUGUGGGUCCCAGGUAGGGAGGGUGCAGAGAGGGGGCAGAAGGAUUCUGCCUGUGAGUGACAGCUUGAAAAAUGGAACUUUGCAGGGCCAGGCCCCCUACUCUUACCAUCAUUUGCUGACUAUCCGAGGGACGAGGAGACAAAAUCUCUCACUUUCUCGGACACACAGAUAAUCAGAGCACUCUCUGAGACUUUGAUCAAACCACACAUUUUUUUCCAGUAGUGGUUCUGGUGGAGAUAGGCCAUUUUAUGGAUAUUUUGGAAGUGAUUUCCUCUAUAUAAAAAGCACAUGUUCUGAGUUUGUUCUCCUGGCCAAAAAUGUCGCUAUAGCAUGGCAAUGAACCCCUCCCAGCACCUUUUUGUUGUGUUUUUUGUUUCGCAAUGCAUCAGGAGACUGAACUGAGAGAUAAAACAUGGAGAUAGGAACAGGAAAAUAUAAAAGUCACACCUUGCCAAGCUCACCACACCCAGAAAAAAACAAAAAAACAAAAAAACUGUCAAUAAAACAAGGGCCCUAUACAACUACAUCUCCUUCUAGACUGAACUCACCUUCCCUGUUCAGCAUAGGCUUCUUGGACCCUGUAAGGCAGGAUUGAGACUGCUGGCCUCUGUGUGACAUAAUAUAUUUCUUAUUGCACCAUUUUGCAGUGAUUUGUUUGUGUCUUUUUUCUUUU
rnacentral:lncRNA from 1 species